rnacentral:lncRNA from 10 species
GAAGACUUGUUGAAACAAGUCUUGCAAUGCUUAAUGAAGAUGGGGCAAGAAAUACCAGGGAGUGACUCUAGCUGGAACCUCUGUGGAAGUCUGUGUUAACAUCAAACUCCUGGGAUAAAAAUCGCAGGGGGUAAACUUUGGAGGAAUACAUUGCAAUUUGCCAGGAAUUACUUUGUACUAAAUGGUGGGGAAAAAAAAAAAGACUCUGACUUGGUUGGGAUGCAAAGAGGCUGGGGAGCAUUGGAGAGCAAAUAGAAUAUUUAAUGAAGAUUACUAUCUCUGUCACAACAUGAGUGCAGAAGCAUCUUCAGUUGGAGAGCCAUUGCCUCUUGCUGUGAAAUAUUUGGGAAUCUUCAGAAACCAUGAAGAAUAACCUGCUAAAGGCCACCAAGUUCUAUUGAACAUCAUGAAUCCUAUGCUCAAGUGAGAUCAGCUCAAGUGAGACCAGAUAUCUGAAGACCUUUUCAUUUUCGCCACCCUCAAAUGAAGGCAUGCAAGUCCUGUUUGUCUCUGCCACUCCUCUAGCUGAUAUGUGCUCCAGAUUUGAAAAUUAAUUUAAGAAGCCAAAUUGUUUCCUGCUUUUCAAAGUUAUACAUAUCGUUACAUAUGUUUAUAUUUAUGUGUACACACAAAUGUAAAGCAAUGAUGCCUCUAUUAAAAUGAUGUU